UAGAUGACCUCCUGAGGUCCCUUCCAACCUGGAUAUUCUAUGAUUCUAUGAACUCCCCUCCAACUCCAAAAUCACACAUUAGCAACACUGAAACCAUCAAUGCACAAUUGCAACACACACUUAGAACAGCUCCAACACAAACUUUUCAGUUCCUGAAAGCUUUAAGAGGUUUGCUGUAUUCUCACAACACCAGAAAGUAGCCAUCCUGCCAUUUCUUGGUCAUUUAAGAAAUGUUAAUCAAAGAAAUGGCAGUACCUCUGUAGUUGCCACUGAAACCCUAGCUGUGGAAAAUGAUGACGCUUCCACUUGAUGUUGCAAUGCUGCAUUUAGUAAAGAACUCCCAUGCUCAAAUGCAGUCCAUGCUUAUUCUUUUAGCUCUAGCAGCAACUGCCUCUGGUUUACUGACCUGGAAUUUUCUUUGUCAAGCCUGAGGAAGCUCUUGAGUGGCUCCAUUUGUUUCUUCAGGAUGUAGCACAGGAUAGGAAGUUGCUUCCCUCCUCCUCCUCCUCCUCUCACACAGGGUUCUAUACAGCUCCAUUCUGCCAACCUCCUGGUCAGCAUAUAUAAUUAUGGUGGUGAGGGCUGCAAUUCCUCAACACCCAGGUCUGUGCCACCAUUUCAUCAGACCCAGGGAAUACAGCUGACUUACUUCAGUGUCCCGACAAACCUGAAGCUCGAAGGAGAGCUGGCUGAGAUUCAUCCUGGAUAAGGGUAACAGGAAAACCACAUGCCAUCAACUCACUUUCAAGAGAGAUCAGACCACCAUCUUCAGUGCCUUCGAACUGAAAUACAAAGCCCACUUCUACUAUCUCGAAUGUGCCAACUGCAACUAGCAACAGCUAAACUCUGGCAAUCAAAACAAACAAACAAACAAAAAUCUAUUUUCACAAAGCCAGUUCUGCUCUGUGACAGUUUUUUCCCUGUCAAAAUUCAACUUUCUAGCCACAGGUGUUUCGGCAGCAGAGCUGUUUAAAAAAUAUUACACUUAAAAAAAAUAUUUUUCGCUUUUGUUAAAAAUAAGCACAACUAUUUUUACUCAAACUUUGAAAAAAAGUCACCCUCUGACAGGGAAUAGGCCUGGACUAUUUCAUUUAGUUAUGCACAUCUGAAUGCAAGUUCUUUAGCAACUGGAAUUAUGGAACUAUUAGCACUCAAGCGCUAACACAGCACACCAGCUCUCUCAGCUCAACAACUGAUCACCAGAAAAGAUUUCAGGAAGGCAUUCAGGCUUAUCUCGACAAACAUGAAAUUACAAGACUCAUAGGACUAGCACAAUCUGAACCAGUUUUUCUCAUUGCAGCAGCCUUUGCAGUACUUGUUGGUCCUGUAGUCCACAUUCCUCCUGUUCUUAUAAAAUGGACAGGUUUCCCCCCCCCCAUAACAUCUCUCACUUCGAUCUUCCCUUCCUCACUUCCUUUACUGUCUACCGACCACUUGGUCACAAUCCAAUCAUAUCAAUUUACAGUGCGAUGUGGACUUUAGGUUUAUGGUCUAUGUGACCAGUACUACACCUAGGUAUACGACCCUCUAUUUUUUUUUUAAAUGCGUGGAAACGGAGUUCUUUUCAUGUCAUCAACUUGAUUUUCAAUACGUAUCAGACACACACAAACCUUAGGUGCUGUAAUCCAAUUCUUCACAUUGGCUCUAAAAUUCCCUUAAAAUUACACAGUAAUUUGUAAAAUUGCAAAGCCCAAAAUACACUGGCAGGGAGUUUAUGCAAAUUGCAGCAAUUAUAAGUUACUUCUUAGUGCUUUACUCUCCAAGACAGUUUUUAAGACUUUGUUAUAGGUUUAUAUUAUAAUCAACAUGCGUGGACAUUUAUCAGCUACAUAAUAUGCACAGAUGCACUUCAGUUGUUCUAAUUUGAUAUGUACUUUGUUUCAUGAAUUACAUUAUGCAUAAAAUUGUUGGUCUGAAAUGCGAUAUUCCACUUGACUGCUAAUAUAUUUCUUAUAUUAAAUGAAUGCUCAUCAUAUUCUUCUUACAAGUAGCAUUAACACUUGGGGAAAAAAGGAUUAUGGUGAAUUUUAAAAUUAGGUAAUGUGACAGGAAUUAAUACUGAACCAGAUUGUCAGACUGUCUAAUGCAAAUGAGAUCAAGCUAAUCUGAGGCAUCUGGUUUUAAAUAAGUAAUUUUUCUCUAUGUUCAUGUUUCAGUCUCUUCUACAGCCAAUUUCUUUUUGUCACUGAAUUAUACAAUCCAAGUAUCAGUCAGCAUUUUUUUUGGAAUUAGCACAUUUGCAUGACAAUCAGCAUUAAAUCCUGUUUCUCGUGUUUCAAAUGGGGUAAUCCAGUUUCAAAGGUUAGGUUAGGCAAUCAACAGUAACCUCAAUAUUUAUCACUUAUACAGAGAUUUACACCUUCACAGUAGUGGAAAGACAACUAAUUAAGCAUCUCAAGAACUCAAUGAAAGUGGCGGGAACAAGAGGCCAAGACAUGAUGAUUUGGUUUCAAUAUCCUUCACUUUCUUUUCAUUUUCCCAUUACAAAUAAAAGUGCAUGAUUUUGCUGCAUUCUUUCUGAUUGGUUAAAAAAAAUCACUUAAAAUGGCAGGGUUCUACAUUUGAGAAGGGAAGCAGAUUAUUGUACAAAAUAUUUUAAUCUGCUGUAGCUGUAAAACAAGAAGCUAAAUUAGGUAUGUUAAUUCAAACCCUACCUUUGUAAAGGACUUCAGAGUCUUAGUCAUUUCUGCAACAACCAAAUAAAAUGGUUUCAUUAAUCCAUGAAUCUCA